rnacentral:rRNA from 1 species
AUUGAACGCUGGCGGCAGGCCUAACACAUGCAAGUCGAACGAGUGGCGGACGGGUGAGUAAUGUCUGGGAAACUGCCUGAUGGAGGGGGAUAACUACUGGAAACGGUAGCUAAUACCGCAUACCAUAAGAUGUGCCCAGUUGGGAUUAGCUAGUUGGUCGGGUAACGGCUCACGAAGGCGACGAUCCCUAGCUGUUCAGAGAGGAUGACCAGCCACACUGUAAGUGUGACACGGUCCAGACUCAUACGUGAGGCAGCAGUGGGGAAUAUUGCACAAUGGGCGCAAGCCUGAUGCAGCCAUGCCGCGGCGAUUAAGAAGGCCUUCGGGUUGUAAAGUACUUUCAGCGAUGAGGCGUUACCCGCAGAAGAAGCACCGGCUAACUCCGUGCCAGCAGCCGCGGUGAUUC